GUUAGGAAUAUUGGACAAUGGGCGAAAGCCUGAUCCAGCCAUGCCGCGUGAACGAUGAAGGCCUUCGGGUUGUAAAGUUCUUUAGCCGAUGAUUAUAAUGACUGUAGUCGGAAAAUAAGCCCCGGCUAACUUCGUGCCAGCAGCCGCGGUAAUACGAAGGGGGCGAGCGUUAUUCGGAAUCACUGGGCGUAAAGCGUGCGUAGGCGGUUUUGUAAGUUAGGAGUGAAAGCCCAGGGCUCAACCUUGGAAUUGCUCUUAAAACUGCAAGGCUCGAAUCUCGGAGAGGAUAGCGGAAUUUCCAGUGUAGCAGUGAAAUGCGUAGAUAUUGGAAGGAACACCAGUGGCGUAAGCGGCUAUCUGGACGAGUAUUGACGCUGAGGCACGAAAGCGUGGGGAUCAAACAGGAUUAGAUACCCGGGUAGUUCC
rnacentral:rRNA from 1 species